rnacentral:other from 1 species
AGAGCCCUGCGAUGUUCGUGAUUUAACCUUUCGUUUUGAGCCAACACGUGUGUUUUCGGGAGUUCGAGUCCUACUAUGGCGCACAAGCCGCAUUUAUGCGGACGUGUAAAGUAGAAGGCAGGGCACCCACCUGCGAGAGCAGGUUCAAAACCAGGCAUAACACGGCAUAAUGGGGUUCUU